CAAAUGAUAGUUUAAUAAAAAUAUUAGCAUUGGAAGCUAAAGAUUAGGGUGUGUACCUAUAAUUUGA
rnacentral:tRNA from 2 species